UACGUAGGGUGCUAGCGUUGUCCGGAUUUAUUGGGCGUAAAGGGCUCGUAGGCGGCGUGUCGCGUCGGGAGUGAAAGCCCGCUGCUUAACGGCGGGUUGGCUUCCGGUACGGGCAUCGCUGGAGUGCGGCAGGGGAGACUGGAAUUCCUGGUGUAGCGGUGAAAUGCGCAGAUAUCAGGAGGAACACCGGUGGCGAAGGCGGUUCUCUGGGCCGAUAUUGACGCUGAGGAGCGAAAGCGUGGGGAGCGAACAGG
rnacentral:rRNA from 1 species